rnacentral:lncRNA from 1 species
UUCUGCAUUCCAGUUUGCACCAAAACCGAUUGCUUCCCUUAGCGCCUUUUGUUUUCUCACUGUGGGAUUUCCUAUUUUUCUGCAGUGGCACUGACAGUCAGCACAAUGGCCCCUGCGGUUCUAAGCCACAGUUCUACUUAAAAGAGAAACCCUAAAUUUGCAUCUGGACUUCUGCUGCGGCCCUGUACCUAAGAACACUGAUACCCAAGAUGAUGCAGACUAUUGCCGUGGCCGUUGCUUGCACGCUGGAACUGAAUGGUAAGAACCUAUUGGUGAAGAUGUCACCUGCUUCGGUGACAGGAUAUGGAGAAAUGAGACUGGAACUGGGCUAAAAGUUUCCUCCCUGCU